GCAUUUAGACAUCUAGACUCCCUGGAAGGGUGGACUGAGCGAAAACCACAACAAUGGCACAAAAAAGAUGGAAGAAACUGUGGUGUUUUUGUUUGCACAAGAUGGAAGCAAAAGGGCUCAGCAUGUCUUCCGAGUUGCUCCACACAGAACAGUUGAUCCACCUUCGGAUGUACCAUGCCUCCUGUUUGGUUAAAAAUAUACAAACUAAGGACUUCCCACCUGAGAUGACAGCUCGUGAGGCUAAAAACAGAUGUUUGGCCCAGGAGAUUGAUGUUUGCAUAUUUCAACAAAUCUGGACCAAAUAAGUGAUAAUAC